rnacentral:rRNA from 1 species
UCUGUGCUAUUGGGAUUCGAUUACCCAUCGAGUCGAGAGUGUUCCGCCAUGUCCUGACGAUCAGUGACACGUGGAUAAUCUGCCCUUAGGUGAGGAUACCUCGGGAGCUGAGAAUAAACUACAUAGGCCUAGGAUGGUGGAAUGCACGGAGUCUCAAAGUUCCGGCGCCUUAGGCUGAGUAUGCGGACUAUCAUGUUGUCGUCAGGGUAAUGACCUGACUAGCGUACUACGGAUCAAGAAUGUGAGACCAAUAACCCGGAGCAGAUAUGUGAGUCUCGCUAUCAGGCCAUGCGGGGCGCAGCAGGCGCGAAAACUUCACAAUGCGCGAAAGCGCGAUGAGGGAAUCCCAAGUUCUUGCAAGUAAGUGUAAGCUGUUUUUAUGUCUAAAAAGCAUAGAGAGUAAGGGCUGGGUAAGACGGGUGCCAGCCGCCGCGGUAAUACCCGCAGCUCAAGUGGUGGCCGUUUUUAUUGGGCCUAAAACGUCCGUAGCCGGUCCAAUAAAUGCCCGGGUAAAUCGUGCAGCUUAAUUAUAGGAAUUCCGGGUAAACUGUUAAACUUGAGACCGGGAGAAGUUAGAGGUACUCCUGGGGUAGAGGUGAAAUUCUGUAAUCCUAGGGGGACCACCGGUGGCGAAGGCGUCCAACUAGAACGGGUCUGACGGUGAGGGACGAAGCCCUGGGGCGCAAACCGGAUUAGAUACCCGGGUAGUCCAGGGUGUAAACGCUGCUCGCUUGAUGUUGGUUGGCCUCCGAGCCCAAUCAGUGUCGGAGAGAAGUUGUUAAGCAAGCUGCCUGGGAAGUACGGUCGCAAGAUUGAAACUUAAAGGAAUUGGCGGGGGAGCACAGCAACGGGUGGAGCGUGCGGUUU